UAGCUGAUAAAAACAAAUACGAGGAAGUGGUGACGUUGAGGAAAGCGCCAAGGUAUGAAAUAAUCAAUAUUUAAAAGAAGGAAAAUACACAUUUUCAUUUUAUUAGGAUUAGUUUAAACGUCAACUUACAGAUGGUCAAUUUUAAAAUCUCAUUUGAAAUCAAAUGCUAUAACGGUAAAAAGUCUUUCAGUUACGCGCUGGUCGUCAAGGUAUGAUGCUUAUGUCAGCUUAUAUGAAUUAUGGUAACAGUACAAGUUCUUAAAGCAAUCGAAAUAGAUAAAACUGAAAAAUCAGAAACAAUAUGUAAAGCACGAGGACUUAGAAUACAACUUGAAAAGUUGAAAAUGGCGUUCUUGGUUUUCUUAUGGGGUUUUCUACUUCACAGAUUAAAUGCUGGUGAAACUUAAGUUACAUGGUUAUAGUGAUGCAGACUAUGAUGGCGGUGAUACAACAACUAGGCGAUCAACAUUAGGAUACAUUAUUUAUUAUUUAUUUUCAUGAUGACCAAUGGAAUAGUAGCAUGGUAUUCAUAAAGGCAAAAAUCGAUAGCACUAUCAACUGUCGAGGUUGAAUACGCAUC